UCCCUCCCAAAACCGGAAACACCAAUUCUCCGUGGUUGGCUGCAACCACGGCAGCUCUCGCCGGCGAUCUGCCGAGAAAUCCCUAACCCUGUGAGAGAUCCAACACACCCGAGCUAGAGGUGAUAUCGCCGCGACGGCGUUGAAUCGACGAUGCGUGGCGUUUGAGAGAAAUUCCGGGGCGGCGCUCUGCAUAUCCGGCGGAAGCCGCCGCCCGCCCCCCCCCAACCCGUUCACCCCCGGACCUCGUCGCCGGCGGCGACGAAGGAGGCGGUGUAGAGGCGCAGGGGGACCUCCUCAGCGCCCUCCCCGACAACGUGCUCCUCCUCGUCCUCCUCAGCCUCCCGUCCGCCGCGGCCGCCGCGCGGACCAGCGUCCUCUCACGGCGCUGGCGCCGCCUCUGGGCGCACCUCCCGGAGCUCCGGUUCCCGGACCUCGCCGAUCUGGCCCGCCCUCGCGCUCCACUUGCUGUACAUCGUCGCCGGCGACGCCGACCCGGGCGACGCGGCCGCAGUUCUCCUCCUCGCUGCGCCACGCCUCACCGGCGAGCUCGUUUUCCACGAUGCGCCUGCGAAGGAUGGUGCGCUUUACCGGGCCUGGAGGCCCUGGACUAGAGGCGAUGUUGAGUUUCCCUGCUUUGACAAGGCCGAACGGAUCGACCUCCGCCUUGGCUACCUUCGCCUUGCAUUGCCGCUGUCUGGCGUGUUUGCGAAGCUCACGGUGCUGCGCCUGUGCCGCGUCCGAUUCCACGGCCCCCGCGACCUUGGCGACGGCCUCUCGUCAGCCCGGUGCCCGUCGCUGCGGGAGCUCCGUGUCUACAGCGUUCUAGGUGUGUCCAAUCUCGCUAUUCGUUCAGAGUCUCUCGCCAGUCUUGAUUUGGGUUAUGUUGAAGGGUUGCAGCAGCUCACCAUUGUGGCGCCAAUGCUUAGAAAACUGAGUGUCUCUAGCUGCUUUCAUGGUUGGUAAGCCAAGGCAACCAGUGGCAGACAUAUCUGCUCCAGUUCUGGAAAUGCUCCUGUGGGCUGAUACGUAUGAUGAUAUGAGCUCGGUCCAGUUAGGUGAGCUCCCACAGCUACGGAAAUUAAGAAUCUUCUGUGGUCUGAACUCUUAUUAUUAUCCAUACAACUGGGACACUGUGAUGCUACUGCGGCGCUUUCGGAAGAUCCCAAUUCUUAUCAUCUCUCCAACUAACGUGAUGGACUCCCAGCACUUGGCAAAAGUCAUUUACCUUGCUUCCCGACAUUGAGGAGCUACGCCUGUCCUUGGGAUUAUUAACGACUGGACAUACCUUUGGACCCUUUGUAUUCCAUCUGCUUCGUAUUUUUUCUAGUAUAAGGAAGCUGAAGCUCAAGAUAAGUGAAGAAACUAAGGCCAAAACUAUUUUGCUAUCAGGUUGUGUUUGCCGUCAGCCGCAAAACUGGAAAACUGAGGAGCUCUACUUGAAUUCUCUCCAGGAAGUGAAGAUCUGUCAAUUGACAGGAUCUGAACGCGAGCUCACAUUUCUGAAACUCCUAUUGUGAAAUGGACGGAAGCGCUCAAAACAAUCACCUUAGUUCUCGAUCCUUCAGUUACUGUCAGCGAUCAGAUUUGUCAGGAGCUACUCGGCCACUACUCUAGGCCAGAGAUUUGCAUGAAAAUUUACUUAUAUUGCAAUGGGUCAAAGGUGAUGUAUGAACCGGUAGGCUAGCGCAGUUUUAAGGGCUGUGUCUAACUGUGAGUAUGACCCGUAUCAUUUACAUGGGAGCAUGAAACUCUAUUUUCAUAGUGAGCACUGAGCACACAGCUGCUUUAGUAAGGAGUUGUGCUUGUUCCUCUAUCUGGCUUCAUGUGUAAG